rnacentral:rRNA from 1 species
UACGGGGGGGGCAAGCGUUGUUCGGAAUUACUGGGCGUAAAGGGUUCGUAGGUGGCCAACUAAGUCAGACGUGAAAUCCCUCAGCUUAACUGGGGAACUGCGUCUGAGACUGGAGGGCUUGAGUGCAGGAGAGGAACGCGGAAUUCCAGGUGUAGCGGUGAAAUGCGUAGAUAUCUGGAGGAACACCGGUGGCGAAGGCGGCGUUCUGGACUGCAACUGACACUGAUGAACGAAAGCCAGGGGAGCAAACGGG